CCUAAACAGCUCCUCCUCGUUCCCAUGGAGACCUCAGGCUGCCACGCAUUGGUUACUGGAUCAUACGACUCUACAGUGGCCAAAUCAGAGGUGCCAUCAUACCUGAUUUGUGAAAAGGAGUGUGAAACUAAUGAUCUUCCAGCACAACAGUGGAGUACCUGUGGGAUACAGGCUUGUGAUCGAUGACGAGUUCAUAACUACAGUAUAUCCCAACAGACUGCAGUAUGAAGCCUGAAAAUGACUUACUAAUAAACAGGCCUACAUGGAAUCUGUACCCACAGAACUCCAGAGAAAGCACAGAAGAUUUUAGCAGAAUUUGAACACCUGUUAUUCAAAGAGUUUUACACAUUCCCACCUCUACGGUGUUUGUUUACCAAUAAACUACCAAUAAAAAUGUA